UACGUAGGUGGCAAGCGUUAUCCGGAUUUAUUGGGCGUAAAGGGAACGCAGGCGGUCUUUUAAGUCUGAUGUGAAAGCCUUCGGCUUAACCGGAGUAGUGCAUUGGAAACUGGCAUGCUAGAGUGCCGGAGGGGCAAGCGGAAUUCCUAGUGUAGCGGUGAAAUGCGUAGAUAUUAGGAGGAACACCGGUGGCGAAGGCGGCUUGCUGGACGGUAACUGACGUUGAGGCUCGAAAGCGUGGGGAGCAAACAGG
rnacentral:rRNA from 1 species